rnacentral:rRNA from 1 species
CGGCGUGCUUAACACAUGCAAGUCGAACGCGAAAGGGACUUACGGUCCUGAGUAAAGUGGCGCACGGGUGAGUAACGCGUAGAUAACCUGUCUUCAUGUCUGGAAUAAUACGCCGAAAGGGGUACUAAUACCGGAUAUUCUUGCUUUUCAUAAGUUAUGCAAGCAAAGGUGGCCUCUGCAUAUGCUACUGCAUGAAGAGGGGUCUGCGUACCAUUAGCUAGUAGGUGGGGUAAUGGCCUACCUAGGCGACGAUGGUUAGCGGGUCUGAGAGGAUGAUCCGCCACACUGGCACUGGAACACGGGCCAGACUCCUACGGGAGGCAGCAGUGAGGAAUAUUGCGCAAUGGGGGAAACCCUGACGCAGCGACGCCGCGUGAGUGAAGGAAGGCCUUCGGGUCGUAAAGCUCUGUCAAGAGGAAAGAAGUGUACAAUGGCUAAUACCUGUUGUAUUUGACGGUACCUCUAAAGGAAGCACCGGCUAACUCCGUGCCAGCAGCCGC